UACGUAGGUGGCAAGCGUUGUCCGGAUUUACUGGGUGUAAAGAGCGUGUAGCCGGGCUGACAAGUCAGAUGUGAAAUCCGGGGGCUCAACCCCCGAACUGCAUUUGAAACUGUUGGUCUUGAGUAUCGGAGAGGCAGGCGGAAUUCCUAGUGUAGCGGUGAAAUGCGUAGAUAUUAGGAGGAACACCAGUGGCGAAGGCGGCCUGCUGGACGACAACUGACGGUGAGGCGCGAAAGCGUGGGGAGCAAACAGG
rnacentral:rRNA from 1 species